rnacentral:lncRNA from 1 species
AUGAAAAUUACAUCAGACAGUAAUCAAUAUGCACGCACGCCUUUAAGUAAAGUAUGAACAUCUGCCCCGUUGUCAUUUGCAAUCUUCUAUCAUCCAAACGUUUGUUUAACUAUUAGAAAAGUGGUGAAAUUACCUUUUUGCCCCUGACCCUUACUAUCAUUAUUAUCAUAAAACCCCCCACACCCACACCCACACCCACCCCUCUCUCUCCAUAACCACCACAAGAAAUCUCGGUUACCACCACCACUGCCACCCAACUCCACCUGCAACCAUCGCCACUCCUACCCCCACCCAACCACAGGUUACUGGGAAACAACACCCAACAACCAUCACUAUUUUCCUCCACCAUCGGAUUCUAAUCCAACGGAUCUUUAAAGGAUUUAACCAUGACUAAUUUAUUACACAAGUCUUAAGACCAGUCUUACACAAUGGAUUUUUUAAAGAAAAUCACUUUUACUUCUGACCACCCUUUUCUCUAUAUGUUUAUAGUUCAAAGGUAACACACGAAACCCUAGUUCCAAAAGAACUUGCAGCCGCAAACUCUGUUCUAAUCUUUCUCUUUCUUUUGACAUAAAACGUUUAAUAAUCCACAUACCAAUCAACUUCGAGACAAAGGUGGGUUCAAAAGUAUAUAAAAGUCUUAGUGAGACACACAAACUCUGAACUUUCGCUAGAAAGGUAAGGUAACCUGUACAAGUUACAUCUCGGAGGAUAAGAUUUACCCAAAAAGGAAGGUGAUCUGUAAAGGAGGUUGUUCACUAGGCACGAAGCUCUACCUAUAUAAGGACACAUCUCCCAUUUCACAAAGAUAUCCGAGGAAGCUUCUAGCUAAGGAGGAUUCAAGACCUUCUAACUACCCAUACACCAUACUUAUAUUUUAACAUUACAUAUAUGUGUGGUUCAUCAAUAUUAAUCCUCCUAGAAAUGGUUAAAUUAUAUAGCAAAUUACAAGCCAUAUUGUGUAUAAGAUUUGACAAAUAUAAUGUAUUAUGAGGACAAGCUAUUUAAUUGCACAAUUACAAAAUUUGGAUAGUGAAGCAAUUGAAUCAUGAAUGAUUAGAUUUGACAUCAAGCUCGACAAGUACAAGUUAAAUGGUUAAAAGACGCAUACGUUAGGAUAUUAUAAGAAAACAAGAGUUUGCAGAUCAUGUUUCAAUAACAAUAACAAUAACAAAGUUGUUAUCAACACGUUAAUAAUUUUUCCUCUAUAUUUACAAUUUAAAAGUAACUAAUAUUUUCUAUACAGAAA